rfam:Spiribacter salinus M19-40, complete genome.
CCUGGCGAAAAUAGCGCGUGGGAACCACCCGACCCCAUUCCGAACUCGGAAGUGAAACUGCGCAGCGCCGAUGAUAGUGCCGCCUCGCUGUGGUGCGAAAGUAGGUCAUCGCCAGGU